CUCACCAUCCCGCUCAGCCCCUGAGAGAGGAACACAGGCUGGUCCUGGCCUCUCUCCCUGUGCCAUACCUGUCGGAGAGCUGUCUGACAAAUUGGUGCCCCGUGUGAGGCACUGCCUAUCACGAAGUUCACUGACGGGCCAAUCGGUCUGCGGGGACAAUAAAGGAUGUGGAUGGUGUUACUCCUGACACUUCUGAUUCCCAUCCCGCCCAGUGAUCAAGGAUUUGGAGACCCCAAUGCUGCAGUAAGGCGACUGGAGGCCCAAUAUGGAAAGCCCUGAAAAGUGCUGCUUUUAUGCCAAUAGAUCCAGGAUUGUCCAAGAUAAGAUUUAAAAAACUCCAAGAAGAUUUAGAAAAAAGGAGACCCUGUAUAUUCAAUAAGUUCAUGGGGUUUGUUCAUCAGAGAAUAGAGGCAAUCAAAUUACAUCAAGUCAAGGUGCAUUUUCACAGGCUCGCUAGUCAGGAGCCAAGCUCCCAUGAUUGGCCAUCUUCAUAUGAUUGCCCAUCCCCUGCCCUCCAUGU